rnacentral:rRNA from 1 species
UGGGUAGGUGGCAAGCGUUGUCCGGAUUUAUUGGGUUUAAAGGGUGCGUAGGCGGUCCAUUAAGUCAGUGGUGAAAUACGGCAGCUUAACUGUCGAGGUGCCAUUGAUACUGGAGGACUUGAGUACAGACGAGGUAGGCGGAAUUGACGGUGUAGCGGUGAAAUGCUUAGAUAUCGUCAAGAACACCGAUAGCGAAGGCAGCUUACUAGACUGUAACUGACGCUGAGGCACGAAAGUGUGGGGAUCAAACAGG